rnacentral:rRNA from 1 species
AUUGAACGCUGGCGGCAUGCUUUACACAUGCAAGUCGAACGGCAGCGCGGGCUUCGGCCUGGCGGCGAGUGGCGAACGGGUGAGUAAUGCAUCGGAACGUGCCCAGUAGUGGGGGAUAGCCCGGCGAAAGCCGGAUUAAUACCGCAUACGACCUGAGGGUGAAAGCGGGGGACCGAAAGGCCUCGCGCUAUUGGAGCGGCCGAUGGCGGAUUAGCUAGUUGGUGGGGUAAAGGCUUACCAAGGCGACGAUCCGUAGCUGGUCUGAGAGGACGACCAGCCACACUGGGACUGAGACACGGUCCAGACUCCUACGGGAGGCAGCAGUGGGGAAUUUUGGACAAUGGGGGCAACCCUGAUCCAGCCAUGCCGCGUGCGGGAAGAAGGCCUUCGGGUUGUAAACCGCUUUUGUUCGGGAAGAAAUCCUCUGGGCUAAUACCCCGGGGGGAUGACGGUACCGGAAGAAUAAGCACCGGCUAACUACGUG